rnacentral:lncRNA from 1 species
CUCUGCUGGAAGCUGACCAGGCAGACUGAUGGCGCCUACACAAAGUCUUUAAGCAACUUCUCCACCUUGAUCAUUUUCCCCUCAUCUUUUUUUGUCCUUUACGUCCUUGAUUGCUGUUAUUCAACCCUGAGAUAAUGCACUCCUGAUAUCACUGAGAUGGGAGAGACAAGCAAGGAGCAAGAGAUCAAAGCAAGGAGAAGAAAGAGAAGAUGCUCAAGGCAGGAGAAGAAAGAGGGGAAGAUGCCAAACACCUCCUUGAUGUACCUACUUUACAUACCCGGUACCGAGGUUCAGAAAUCCUUCCUUUUGAGAUCCCUUUCCUGCAGUGUUUAUAAGGAAAUCUUGAAACCUAAGAAGAGCAGCCAAGGACAACAACACUGAAUAUGGAGAUGGAGGAAACAUGUGAACACACCAGCAGCUGUCCUUUGAAACGGGAUGUGUAAGAUAAAGGCAAAUCCAACAUUAAUGCAGCACUCCUGCCAGAAAACCAGCAGUCACUCCUGCAUUUCAUUUCCCUGGUUUAUUUAAAAAUACCCUUGGAAGCACUGCUGUUGAUGAAUGUUCUUUGAUUGCAUUUCUUAUUCCCUUGUGCUGGUUUAUACCCAAGUGGAGGAAUUUUGGACCUGGCACUCCUCUAACCCACUGCGGCUAUAAAUAAUUCCAGAUAUCCCUUGAUUUGCUCCAGAAAUGAAGCCUGUUUGUGCUUUGAGUGAAAAACCUUGGCGUGGUUGACGUUGUCACCCUUCAGCUCUGCACUCACUAUGGUAAGCGCUGUUUAUUUUCAGGACAUGGCACCGAGCGGUGCUAUUGUGCCAAAGGUACCUCGUGCUCCGCAGCAUCCCUGAGCUGGAAGGGCGGGGAUCCGGUCACAGCCCACACGUCCACUGUCACGACUCAGGGCAGAGCCGGGAUUUUGUUUCUAAGCUCAGUCCCGGCUCUGAACGUGCAGCAGGGCCGAGGCUGCAGAGCUGGCCCAGGGCAGCGAUGGCCUUUGCUGUCUGCAUUGAGACAACCGGAGCUCGGGGGCGAGGGGAGCCCAGGUGAGGGAUCAGGUGAGGGAUGAGGCGGAGCCCUCCAGGUCCUCACCUGAGGCGCCACCGGAAGUCGCCUCACGGCCCAGCCGCGCCCAGGUGAGGCGGCGCGGGGCGCGCUGGGAACGGCAGGUGGGUACCUGAGCGGCUGAGGCGGCGCGGGGGGCACCGGGGACAUCCCCGACCCUGCUCAGGGGCGGUGUGCGGUGUGCAUCCGCCCGUUCCUGCCCGUUCGUCCGCGGCCCUCGGCGGCCCCGGGAAUGCGAACUCCCGGUUACCGAGACAACAGCCGCCUCAGCUCUCCUCCAAUCACCGUGCUUGUUACUGUGAGCAACCGCCCAAUCACAGACGAGCUCUCAGCGCCACGGCGGCUGGUUUAAGGUGGCUCGGCUGAGGCGCUUUGCGCAUGCGCUUUAAGGCGGCUCCGGCUGCUGUUCGCGCCACCGGGAGCCGCGCACACGGGGAGG